rnacentral:rRNA from 1 species
AUUGAACGCUGGCGGCAGGCCUAACACAUGCAAGUCGAGCGGAUGAAGGGAGCUUGCUCCUGGAUUCAGCGGCGGACGGGUGAGUAAUGCCUAGGAUUCUGCCUGGUAGUGGGGGAUAACGUCCGGAAACGGGCGCUAAUACCGCAUACGUCCUGAGGGAGAAAGUGGGGGAUCUUCGGACCUCACGCUAUCAGAUGAGCCUAGGUCGGAUUAGCUAGUUGGUGGGGUAAAGGCCUACCAAGGCGACGAUCCGUAACUGGUCUGAGAGGAUGAUCAGUCACACUGGAACUGAGACACGGUCCAGACUCCUACGGGAGGCAGCAGUGGGGAAUAUUGGACAAUGGGCGAAAGCCUGAUCCAGCCAUGCCGCGUGUGUGAAGAAGGUCUUCGGAUUGUAAAGCACUUUAAGUUGGGAGGAAGGGCAGUAAGUUAAUACCUUGCUGUUUUGACGUUACCAACAGAAUAAGCACCGGCUAACCUCGUG